rnacentral:rRNA from 1 species
AUACGGAGGAUCCGAGCGUUAUCCGGAUUUAUUGGGUUUAAAGGGUGCGCAGGCGGCCAUUUAAGCCAGCGGUUAAAUCGUGGGGCUCAACCCCAUUCUGCCGUUGAUACUGGGUGGCUUGAUUGCGGUCGAGGUUGGCGGAAUUCGUUGUGUAGCGGUGAAAUGCAUAGAUAUGACGAAGAACACCGAUUGCGUAGGCAGCUGACCAGACCGCAAAUGACGCUCAUGCACGAAAGUGCGGGGAUCGAACAGGAUUAGAUACCCUGGUAGUCCGCACAGUAAACGAUGAAUACUUGUUUUCGGCGAUAUAAUGUCGGAGGCAAAGCGAAAGCGAUAAGUAUUCCACCUGGGGAGUACGCCGGCAACGGUGAAACUCAAAGGAAUUGACGGGG